rnacentral:tRNA from 1 species
GUUUUAAUAGUUUAACAAAAACAUUGGUCUUGUAAAUCAAAAAUAAAAUAUUAUAUUUUUUAAAACA